UAAAGACUCUUCACUUGUAUGAUUAAAGUGCUUUCCAGAGAAGUCGAACCAUUCUCUCCCCUUCCUGUCCCUUUGCCUGCAGGGCACUCCAGUCCCAAACACUAUUUACUGCUGACAGCAUUGCUUCCGACUUUACCGUGUCUUUGUAUCCCUCUCUCAGGCAAUUUUGAGAUAUAGUCCAUUGAGUUCACAAAGGAAAGAAUAUCCAGGAUGAGCUGGUCCUGAGUGAAGGAGCUGAGAAAUCGAGGCUGUGGGGACAGGAAGAUGGAAAAAGGAGAUGGCACACCGAACCUGAAUCCUGCCCUGGAGGAGGGGUGUAAGAGGAGAUUGAAGGCAGAGAGAGCGUGGGGAACACCGCUCAGGACAAUAACAGAGGCAGGCUUGUGAAAGAUGAUCAGGGCCAGUAAAUGCCUACUAUGUGCCAAAGACGUGACAUAUAUCCACCAGGCCUGUGAGGAAGAGGGACCCACAGGCACACAAUGCUGAUAAUGAGGGACAGGCUGUGAGGGGUAAGCAUGGAUGUCUGGGAGUGCUGAGAAGGGGCCUAGCCUGGCCUGGUUAUGCAUGCAGAGUUGGGGGUGGAGAGGUCACAGAAGGUUUUUUUGAAGAG
rnacentral:lncRNA from 1 species